GACGAACGCUGGCGGCGUGCUUAACACAUGCAAGUCGAACGGAAAGGCUCCAGCUUGCUGGAGUACUCGAGUGGCGAACGGGUGAGUAACACGUGGGUAAUCUGCCCUGCACUCUGGGAUAAGCCUGGGAAACUGGGUCUAAUACUGGAUAUGACCUUUCUCCUUAUGGGGUUUGGUGGGAAGUUUUUCGGUGUAGGAUGAGCCCGCGGCCUAUCAGCUUGUUGGUGGGGUGAUGGCCUACCAAGGCGACGACGGGUAGCCGGCCUGAGAGGGUGAUCGGCCACAUUGGGACUGAGAUACGGCCCAGACUCCUACGGGAGGCAGCAGUGGGGAAUAUUGCACAAUGGGCGGAAGCCUGAUGCAGCGACGCCGCGUGAGGGAUGACGGCCUUCGGGUUGUAAACCUCUUUCAGCAGGGACGAAGCGUAAGUGACGGUACCUGCAGAAGAAGCACCGGCUAACUACGUG
rnacentral:rRNA from 1 species